AUACGGAGGGUGCAAGCGUUGUUCGGAAUUACUGGGCGUAAAGCGCGCGUAGGCGGCUUAUUAAGUCGGAUGUGAAAGCCCCGGGCUCAACCUGGGAAUUGCAUUCGAUACUGGUAGGCUAGAGUACGGCAGAGGAGAGUGGAAUUUCAGGUGUAGCGGUGAAAUGCGUAGAUAUCUGAAGGAACAUCAGUGGCGAAGGCGACUCUCUGGAUCGAUACUGACGCUGAGGUGCGAAAGCGUGGGGAGCAAACAGAAUUAGAAACCCCAGUAGUCC
rnacentral:rRNA from 1 species